AUGGAUGAGGAAGGCUUUCUCGACAGCAGCCGUCCGGCCGGCGACCCAGUUGGCGGUGGCAGCCAUAGAAGAUCGAGGUCACGGGGCGACUGGGUCGACAAUGAGGGAGCCAUGGGGCGUGGCCACGUCCGGCCGAAUAUGGGGCUGGACUUGGGCAGCGGCUUUGGAGCUGCCGAUGCACAAGCUGGGCAAGGCUCCUCUCGUAAGAGGGUAGGCAUCGAUGCUAGAAGGAGUGAUACUGUCAACUUAGACGAUGAAGAUGAUGGUCUGAUCAGGAAUGGUUCAGCAACAAGAGAGGCACCUUUUAAAGGACUUAAGACCAACGACAUACAUCAUGUGUGGAACCAUGGCCCCAAGCACGGAGGAGGAUUUCAUUGUCGGUAUUGCAACAUGAAGAAUUCUGGAGGAGGUGCAACCCGCUUCAAAGAGCAUCUUGGCAAGAUAGUAGGUGAAGUGAAGGAGUGCCCAAAUGUUCCAAGAAAUGUGCAUGAUAUAAUGAGGAAGGCCGUGCUUGAGAUGAGGAAAAAGAAGAGGGAGAAGGAAAGUCGUAAGCUUAGAUUUGAACGUGAGUUGAUGGAUGAGAUGUACCAGAGAAAUGGUGUGAUAAAUAUUGAUGAUGAUAAAGAUGAAGAAAUUCAUAUGGCACUACGGGAGUCACUAAGAGACAGGAAUGUUCUGUUUUUACUUUAUUUUGUCUUAUUCUGGUUUUACUUUAUAUCAUGA
rnacentral:rRNA from 1 species